UACAAAUUUCGACAGGUUUCCAUGCCCCUUUUAGGACUUAUGUCCCACCUUCCCACCUCCUGUUUCCAUUGGCGUGAAAGUGUGGCGCCAUCGGCCAUUUUGAAAAAAUGUGUGUGUGUAUGUGUUUGACUAGGGGAAGUGUAUUAAAUAUCAGGGUGGGUUAAGAGAAAAGCUAAAUAAUAUUGAAAACUAGGUUUAUAAAGGGAAUUUACUAAGGCAAAACCUGUUUGGUAAGCACAGGAUAAAAAAUCAUUGAAACUAUUCAAUACCAAUGUAGGUU